ensembl:lncRNA
GGAGCGUCCCCGCGGAGCAGACGGGCAGGGCCCUGGAGCGACGGACGCCAGCGCCGGCGCCGCGGGGAGCGCGUGCGGGACUCCGCGGGGCCGCCUACCGCGACUUCAGCAGGGGCCGCGGCCGCGCUCCCGGGCCGGUGGGCUGAGGCAGGCAGAGGCCGCCAUAUUCCCGCCUUACCACGCCCGGCCGGCCGGCAGCCGGAGGUAAGCGGCGGCUCUGACAAGCAGCGGCGGCCGCUGCCUCCGGCCGCGCGGCGGCGACCCGGCCCGGCCCCGGCUGGGGGCAGCCGUGACCGCUGCGCUCGCGGCCUCUGCCCAGGGUGCGAAAGCAGGAGGCACCAGCAGAGCCCGAGGGGGCCGGCCCAACCGGGUAGCCGCGCGGGCGAGGCGAGAGCCGCACUGGGAGGCGCGCCGCGGCGGCCGCGAGCCCAGGAAAGCGUUCCGGGAGGGGCCGGGCGGCACCGCCUCCCGGCUCCCCUCCUCCCGCGCCUGUCCCCUCCGCCUCCUCCCCCUCCUCCUUUCGCCGCCGCCUCUUCCCUCCCGGAUCUGUGCUCCAGUUCAGAGAAAGAAGAAAAUGUGUGUGUGUGGCGAGGGGGAGGGCGCGCACUGAGCAGCCGCUCCGCGCCUGGCAAUCGGGGCAGGGGGCGGGCGUCUGGCGAAGGCGGAGGCGGAGGCGGGGGCGGAGGAGCGCGCGGCUGCCGGGCGGGCCGGGAACCGGGUCUGCGCGCGAGCCGGGCGGUGGGCGCGGACAGGGCCGAGGGCGCCCGGGAGCCGUGUCAGGCGGCGGCGAGGAGCGGGCGCGCCGGGCGCGGGAAGCCGUCGGCGGCCGCUCGCUGCGGGGACACCCCGGUGGAUGAGCUCUCGCCGCCAGGCGCACGGCGUAGGGGAGCCUCGCAGGCGGCGGCGGCGGCGGCGCGGGGGGCGAGGCGGGACGCCCAUUCUCGGGGAAGGAGGCGCGGGCGUCUGAGCGAGGCCGGGCGCGGCGGCCUUCCCUCACUCGCCCCCCGAGCCAGCGCCCGCCUCCCGCGCCCGCCUCGCUUCUCCAGUCGGCCCAGGCAGUUCGCUCCCGCCGCGCCCCCGGCCCACCUGGUGGCCCCGGCCCUGGCCGCGGCAGUCGCGGCGGUUCCGGGAGCUCGUACCGGACGCGCGCCCGGGCGGCGGGGACUCGGCGGCCACCGCCGCCUCGGGGGAGCGAGGGCGGGAGGGUGUGUGUGCGCGCUGUGA